UACGUAGGGGGCAAGCGUUGUCCGGAUUUACUGGGCGUAAAGAGCGUGUAGGCGGCCACGCAGGUCCGUUGUGAAAACUGGAGGCUCAACCUUCAGACGUCGACGGAAACCGUAUGGCUAGAGUCCGGAAGAGGAGAGUGGAAUUCCUGGUGUAGCGGUGAAAUGCGUAGAUAUCGUAAGGAAGACCAGUGGCGAAGGCGGGUCUCUGGACAGUUCCUGACGCUGAGGCACGAAGGCCAGGGGAGCAAACGGG
rnacentral:rRNA from 1 species